ensembl:lncRNA
GGUGGAGGUGGGGGUCAAGAAGGUGGAGGAGGAGGAGGAGAGCGGAGAGGAGCGCCUGAUCUCCUCCGGUCUGCUGAGGAAUUCCUCUGAAGCCACAAGAACAGAUAGAGAGGUAGAUAGAGGUGAUGCGUCUAUCUCUCCUCUCCUCUCAUUGGCUGGACAGGAAAACGGACUGGCCAACGGGCCAAUCAGCUCUACAGAAGGACAAGCCAGCCUGAGCCCAUCAUCAAUCUGGACCAAUGAGAACACCGCCUACCAACUUGCUUUCCCAGAGCUUCGGCGGGCUAGCGUCUCUGGACCACAUCAAGGAGUGAUUAAACCAAGCCCCGUCGACCAAGACCCAAGCCCCGCCUCUCAGGACCACAAUGACCCGAGUCCCACCCACCAGGACCCAAGCCCCACCCACCAGGACCCUAGCCCAACCCACCAGGACCCCAGCCCAGCCGACAAGGACCAACAUCACCCCAGUCCCACCAACCAGGACCCCAGCCCCGCCCACAAGGAUCCCAGCCCCGCCCACCAGGGCCCUAGCCCCGCCCACCGGGACCCCAGCCCCGCCCACCAGGACAGUAGCCCCGCCCAGCAGGACCCUAGCCCCGCCCACCAGGACCCCAGACCCGCCCACCAGGAACCCAGUCCCACCCACAAGGACCCUUGCCACGCCAACCAAGAUUCCUCUGGGAACCAGCACAGGAAGGCCAGAACACAGAGAGAACUGGACCAGGACACCCGCCUGCAGGCCCUUCAUCCCAGCCAGACCAGGGUGGGGGACUGGUCUGCCCCCAGCAGGAGGGCCUUGUUGGAGGUGUCUGGGUCAGGUGUAGCAGGCAUCCGGCUGUUUGAGAUGGGGCCCCUCGCUGACCCAGCAUUGAUGAAGAACUCGGAGCGGAUUCUGAACAAGGUCCAAACGCUGGCACGCAUGUACAGCUCAAGCGCCGGGACCAUGAAGCUUCCUCUGCACCAAAAGCAGAACGCCAGGAGGACCAGGACGCCCCAAGACACGCAGACCGGGUGCCUGAAGGAGCAGGGGAAGCACAUCCAGUCCCAGCGCUCCAGUCAGAACCCUACUGACACUAACAGACCCGAUACAGCCAAAACACACACACAGUCCCCACUCACCUGGGCUCAGAACCCAAAUACGACCAGGAGCCUUGCCCAGACCCAGGCAGGUCCGCCGGCCCCCUGGUUGGAGGAUGGAGGGAUGAAGGAAGAGCAAGAGGUGGAAGACAAGUGCAUGAGGAGGAGAGGGAGCGGGACCAGUGACCCCCAGGCGGCCCCAGUGGUGUUGGGUCCGGUCUCGGUCAGACCCUGCUUGGCCCUCUGUCGGCCCCGGGACUUCAUCUCCGCCCUGAGCUCCAGUGUCGCCUCCGCGACCACCAGCCUCCCCAGAGCAGGCCUCCCCUCCCCUGGGGGGGAGGGCUGCAGGGAGUCCCAGGAGAGAGCCUACCACCAUGGCUCUGGUCUCACUAUCCUGAGGGACCACCGGGCUGACCUCCCCCAGGAAAGGCCACCUGGUCAGGUCCGUGUCUCCCGCGUCAGCCCGCUGGCCUCCCCUCACCCAACGUACCCGCUGACGGGGCCUCUAGACGGGGGUCCGACUCCACCAACAGCCCCCUGGUCCCUGGGUUGUCUGAGGCUUGGCCCCCAGCCCUCAAUGGAGGCCAGCUGAGAGAGAGCUCUUCUGAGGACCUCCAUCAGGAUAUUCCUCGGUUGCCAUGGGAGAUGUCAUCGUUGCUGUCUCCCCCACCCUCCCUCUCCAGGCCUAACCUCACCCACCGCC